rnacentral:rRNA from 1 species
UCUGGUGCCAGCAGCCGCGGUAAUUCCAGCUCCAAUAGCGUAUAUUAAAGUUGUUGCAGUUAAAAAGCUCGUAGUUGGAUAUCUGCUGGAAGCAGCCAGUCCGCCCUUUGUGGGUGUGCACUUGGUGAAUUCUGGCAUCCUCCUGAUUGGUGUCAUCAUCACUUCAUUGUGUUGGUGGCAGCUGUCAGGACCGUUACUUUGAGAAAAUUAGAGUGUUUCAAGCA